rnacentral:tRNA from 2 species
GCCCUGUGGUGUACAGCACAUAAAAUUGCAAAUUUUAAAGAGCAAAUAGACUCUGCCGGGGCUU